rfam:Myotis lucifugus cont2.41999, whole genome shotgun sequence.
GGCCUCCCUCUGUGGGGUGAUCGAUCACGGGGGCCCCAGACUGAUCGCCCCACAGAGGGAGGCC